rnacentral:rRNA from 1 species
GACGAACGCUGGCGGCGUGCUUAACACAUGCAAGUCGAACGGUGAAAGCGGAGCUUGCUCCGCUGGAUCAGCGGCGAACGGGUGAGUAACACGUGGGCAACCUGCCCCUCACUUCGGGAUAACUCCGGGAAACCGGGGCUAAUACCGGAUAUGACCUCCUUGGGCAUCCUUGGAGGUGGAAAGUUUUUCGGUGAGGGAUGGGCCCGCAGCCUAUCAGCUUGUUGGUGAGGUAGUGGCUCACCAAGGCGACGACGGGUAGCCGGCCUGAGAGGGCGACCGGCCACACUGGGACUGAGACACGGCCCAGACUCCUACGGGAGGCAGCAGUGGGGAAUAUUGCGCAAUGGGCGAAAGCCUGACGCAGCAACGCCGCGUGCGGGAUGACGGCCUUCGGGUUGUAAACCGCUUUCAGCAGGGAAGAAGCCGCAAGGUGACGGUACCUGCAGAAGAAGCACCGGCUAACUACGUGCCAGCCGCCGCGGUAA